UACGAAGGGGGCUAGCGUUGCUCGGAAUCACUGGGCGUAAAGCGUGCGCAGGCGGUUUUGUAAGCCAGAUGUGAAAUCCCCGGGCUUAACCUGGGAAUGGCAUUUGGGACUGCAAGGCUGGAGUGCGGCAGAGGAGACUGGAAUUCCCGGUGUAGCAGUGAAAUGCGUAGAUAUCGGGAGGAAUACCGAUGGCGAAGGCAGGUCUCUGGGCUGACACUGACGCUCAUGCACGAAAGCGUGGGGAGCAAACAGG
rnacentral:rRNA from 1 species